CGCGGCCUAUCAGCUUGUUGGUGAGGUAAUGGCUCACCAAGGCGACGACGGGUAGCCGGCCUGAGAGGGCGACCGGCCACACUGGGACUGAGACACGGCCCAGACUCCUACGGGAGGCAGCAGUGGGGAAUAUUGCACAAUGGGCGAAAGCCUGAUGCAGCGACGCCGCGUGAGGGAUGACGGCCUUCGGGUUGUAAACCUCUUUCAGCAGGGAAGAAGCGAAAGUGACGGUACCUGCAGAAGAAGCGCCGGCUAACUACGUGCCAGCAGCCGCGGUAAUACGUAGGGCGCAAGCGUUGUCCGGAAUUAUUGGGCGUAAAGAGCUCGUAGGCGGCUUGUCACGUCGGGUGUGAAAGCCCGGGGCUUAACCCCGGGUCUGCAUUCGAUACGGGCAGGCUAGAGUGUGGUAGGGGAGAUCGGAAUUCCUGGUGUAGCGGUGAAAUGCGCAGAUAUCAGGAGGAACACCGGUGGCGAAGGCGGAUCUCUGGGCCAUUACUGACGCUGAGGAGCGAAAGCGUGGGGAGCGAACAGGAUUAGAUACCCUGGUAGUCCACGCCGUAAACGGUGGGAACUAGGUGUUGGCGACAUUCCACGUCGUCGGUGCCGCAGCUAACGCAUUAAGUUCCCCGCCUGGGGAGU
rnacentral:rRNA from 1 species